rnacentral:ncRNA from 1 species
GCACAAACUCAAGAUCACGGCCCCGCGGGGAAAGUCCGGUGAGAAUCCGGCGCUGACCCGCAACGGUGGGCGGUGCCGCGUGCGAGCGCGCGGCAC